CACGACCUGAGCCGAAGACAGACACUUGACAGACUGAGACACCCAAGCACCCCUGUCAUUUGGGUUCUUUUCCCCAACUAGCUGCCUCCAUCAGUGUCCGGAUACAAGUUGGUUACAAAACAAAGCACAGGCCUCUGGCGGAUCCUGGAAUGGAAACUGAUGACAGAAAGCCAAUUUGCACCAUGCCUCAUCACUGAGAACGAUAUUGAAGCUCAUGUUGUAAGUCAUAUAAUAACAUGGACCAGAGAAGGCCGUGUCCCUUCCGAGAGAGAAUUAUUUAAAAGCGCAAGGCUCCAGGCAGAUGGAAAAAGGGAUGGAACAUAUGGAAUUCAGCGCUGUUUUUCUUAAAGCUCCUCAGCUCUUGAAACCCAGUUCUCAUUUUCAGUCCAUGGCCAACAUCCACCAUUGGAGGAAAACAAAAUUAUGUUUCUUAUUAAGAUUUCUCAUGACCAGCUGUGGCAGACGCUCUCCAAUUUGCCGCCGCACUCCUCCCUUCAGGAUUCCCCUCCCAUCCCAAGAUAUUCUACUGGAAGGACUUGUGACUCUCAAGACACGUCAGGGGGUUAGCCUUCUGGGAACAGCUUCUGGCCAAGGACAUACGCAAGCUGGAGGGUCAAUGCCUCCAUAUUCUCACACCUCAGGUGGGACCCAUCUGAGGUAUGUUUCAUACUGUGAGCUCCCCAGGGGGAUUAAGCCCCAGCUGCCCAGAGUGGAAGUCUAUUCAUUGCUUCAUUCAGUAUUGGCUUCUUGCCUCCUUGGCCUCACUUCCCUACAGCUACUUCUGAGGCGCAGUAUCCAAACAAACUCAUAUAGUCCUGUGUUAGGGUUUGCCACUAGAGGAACUCAACUAAAGACAUAGCCUUUAAAAAGAGACACUUAAUUGUAUUUAUUUAUCACUCAUUCACCAUACUUCUACUGCAAGCCCACCAUGCUUGAGGUAAAAUGCUAGGAGCUGAGGAAGGAAAGAGGACAGACAUGUACCUUCUUAUUUCUUAGAAGUGAUUUAAUAAGACACCAUAAAGAGAGAAGGAUGUGGAUUCUCCGAUUUCUCCAGCCUAACGAUUCCUCCAGGGGCCCCAGAAUGAUCCCCUUGUGUCUUCCAAACAGAUCAUGAAAGGAGGUUGUUACACAACUUCACUGGCCUUUUUCCUCUGCCCACUGCUUCUUCUCAGUCUUGUAUCUGUAUCCCUAUUCAGUUUUUUUUUUAAUUGAAGUCUAGUUGACACACCGUGCUACCUUAGUUUCAUGUGUACAACAUAGUGAUAGAACAACUCCUUUUUAGGUUUUUGAAGAUGUUUAUCUUGUUUUUGAAAAUGACUACAGCUCCUUUGAAAUGUUUGACUGAGACAAAAUAUCCAUACAGAAAGGUGCACUUGUAACCCAAAAAGUCUGUCCCCGGACCCCCUGCAGAAGCUCCUCCCUGUUCCCACAAGGGUAAUCACUAUCCUGACUUCCCCAGCGUGGUUUGCCUUUUCUUUUUUUACUUUAAAUGUUCAGUUCUGUAAGGUUCAACCAUAGUUCUGUACUUAACUGUGUGAUAGUUCAUGCUCAUUACUGUGUAGUAUUCAUGUGUGAAUAACCGUGAUUUAUCUGCUCUACUGCUUUGUUUUGUUUUUUAAUGUAAUCUC